GGACAGGUGCGAGAGUGGUUGAAUCGGGCGGUCUCGAAAACCGUUGAACCUUCUGGGUUCCGUGGGUUCGAAUCCCACCCUGUCCGCCA
rnacentral:tRNA from 1 species